GAACAGUGUGAAAAAUGUAGUUUUAUUAAUCCAUAUAUUCAAAUGUUUUUAUGGUUUACUUCAUUUUUCCAGGGUUGCGUACAGUUGUGAACUGAAGAAGAGAAGCUACAUGGAAAGUUUCCUGACUGGUAUUGUGAACUUUAUGGUGAAUAAAUGAGGAGGUCCUUAUAUGGCACAACAGGACAAAUGAAGUGAUGUUAUGGAAACAAUGUAUUUACAUUGCAUAAUGAGCCAUGAUGCAAUAAGUUCCUUCAUACAAAGGGGCCUCUAGAGAAGUCUGCCCAGUACAGGAUGCUGAGGACCGUGGAAGGACUUCACAGUCAUGGCCAGAGAUGUCACAGUUUCCUACUAGCAAGAGGCUGUUUGCAAGAAGCAAAAUCUCAUGCAUAUUUUAUGUUCAACAUGAGGCUGACUCAACUAUGCUAGAGGUGAAGAGAUGUCUGAGCUGUUUCUCUGUGUGACAAAUUUGGAAAUGGAAAUGGAGCAUCUACACAGGAAACUGGGCAUGAAAAGCAACUUCACACUAUCAAAAAAGACUACCCACCUUGAUCUUGCCAGUAUUUACUCUGACUAUUGAAUGAACAACUCAAGGAACAGAGAAGCUGAGACUUUAGUUCUGCUGCUGCUU
rnacentral:lncRNA from 1 species